rnacentral:tRNA from 1 species
GGGGAUAUAGCUCAGUUGAUAGAGUGCUUGCCUGGCAUGCACAUAGGCCUUGGGUUCAAUCCCAGCACCACCA